rnacentral:rRNA from 1 species
GACGAACGCUGGCGGCGUGCUUAACACAUGCAAGUCGAGCGGAAAGGCCCUUUCGGGGGUACUCGAGCGGCGAACGGGUGAGUAACACGUGAGUAAUCUGCCCCUGGCUUUGGGAUAGCCACCGGAAACGGUGAUUAAUACCGGAUACGACCACUUCUCGCAUGGGAUGGUGGUGGGAAGUUUUUCGGCCAGGGAUGUGCUCGCGGCCUAUCAGCUUGAUGGUGAGGUAAUGGCUCACCAUGGCUUCGACGGGUAGCCGGCCUGGGAGGGUGACCGGUCACACUGGGACUGAGACACGGCCCAGACUCCUACGGGAGGCAGCAGUGGGGAAUAUUGGACAAUGGGCGGAAGCCUGAUCCAGCAACGCCGCGUGAGGGAUGACGGCCUUCGGGUUGUAAACCUCUUUCAGCAGGGACGAAGCGCAAGUGACGGUACCUGCAGAAGAAGCACCGGCCAACUACGUGCCAGCAGCCGCGGUAA